UUGGCACUAUAUAUGCCACAUUGCUUAUUUCGGGUAUGACUGUAUGAGCGAUCACAUGUUACUUUGCACCAUGCCUCCUUCCUCCAAAGGUCAUCGUUAUGUUUGUUCAACAACCACUUUGACCGUUAAUAGCAGGUCGCCUACAAAAGACAUGACUGGCUGAGCUGGUCAUCCAUCACCUGCUCCGCUGUCCCCAUACCUAAAUUGCCCACCACAAAAUUUUUUUCUCCAUUUGUUUGUGCCCUCCACGCGUUUCUACGAGUUUCGCUGCCCCACCGCCGGAGUUCAACGACUCUUCAGGUAACCCUCUUCUCUUUUCUCUUAUUAUUAUUAUUAUUAUUAUUAUUAUUAUUAUUAUUAUUAUUAUUAUUAUUAUCGUCUUAACUCUAGUUUUAUUUUGUUGCUCAGACCAUAUGGUCUUUUGAAUUUAUAAUUAUAUUCGAAUUAUAAUUUAUAACUUUGAUAUUUAGGAUUUUUCUAGUUUAUUACUGAAUUUUACGUAUUUAAAUUUUGAAACUAGCUCAGUUUGCAUUAUGCCUCAUCUAUGAUUUUCAUAUUAUUUUAUGUAUGAUCUAAUUCUGG
rnacentral:lncRNA from 1 species